UACGUAGGGUGCAAGCGUUGUCCGGAAUUAUUGGGCGUAAAGAGCUCGUAGGUGGCCUGUCGCGUCGGCUGUGAAAACUCGGGGCUCAACUCCGAGCUUGCAGUCGAUACGGGCAGGCUAGAGUUCGGCAGGGGAGACUGGAAUUCCUGGUGUAGCGGUGAAAUGCGCAGAUAUCAGGAAGAACACCCGUGGCGAAGGCGGCUCUCUGGAACGCAACUGACGCUGAGACGCGAAAGCGUGGGGAGCAAACAGG
rnacentral:rRNA from 1 species